rnacentral:rRNA from 1 species
AUGUGUUUCCUUAGUUAACAUUGAUUUUGUAAGUAUAAUUUUCUUCUUUUUUGGGUGAAAUCAAUAUAAUAAGAUAAAAUCUCUUCUAAAAUCUGGCGGAACUAGUAAACUUAGGUAAAAAACCAGGAUUAGAUACCCUGUUAUUCUGAGUAAUACAAAAAUAGGGUAGUAAAAGUUGUUCUUCAAACCCAAAGAUUUUGGCGGCACUUUAUCCAAAUAGAGGAGCUUGCCCUGUAAUCGAUAGUCCUCGUUUUAUCUUACCUUGACUUGUAUAGCUUGUAUACCGCCGUUGUCAGAUUACUUUUAAAGAAUGUUUUCAAGAAAUAUAAUUUUUUAACUUCAGGUCAAGGUGCAGUUUAUGUUAAGGUAGUGGUGAGCUACAUUUUUAAUUAAAAAUUACGAAUUUUUAGAUGAAAAUCGAGUUGAAGGUGGAUUUAUUAGUAAAAUGAUUUAAGUAAAAUUAUUUGAAUAAGGUAAUAAAGUGUGCACAUAUCGCCCGUC